CCUGGAGCUCACUAUGUAGACCAGUCAGUCCUCAAAUUCACAGAUCCUCCUGCCUCUGCUUCUGCCUCCCAAGUGCUGGGAUUACAGGAGUGCGUCACUCUCCAUAUUUUUUGAGACUUGGUCUCUUAUUGAACCUGGGCUCCUGGUUUCUCCUCUAUUUAGCUGGGUGCCAUCUGUCUCUGUACCCCUAACCCCAGAGUUCUUUCUCUAAGCACGUUUAGCAGCUUUCCUGUGUGAAUGGAGGUGCUGUCCUUGACACCCAGGUUCCAUUCAGCUUCAUGUCCUGCAGCAGGAACCCAGACUGUCCCUUAGGUGGUUGCUAGGCUCCGGCAAGACUCCAUAGGUUAAUUCUCAAGUUCACACUUCCCGGUUACUGUCAUUUCAUGACAGUCAUGUGCUUUCAUAAACUUUGAUACAGAUAAAAGUUGAACCCUCCUCCCAAACCCACCCCAGCAAGGUCUCACCAUGUAGUUCUCUGGCUGUCCUCAAACUCAUUGUGGAGACCAACCAGGCUGGCCUAAACUCACAGAGAUCUGCCUGCCUCUGCCUCCCGAGUGCUGGGAUUAGUGCCGUGCACCAUUACCAACUGGCUAAACUGAAGUUUUAAAACUGAGUUUUCCAUUGGCAUUUAGCCAGGAAGCAGUUUUGCUGCUGGUGUUUGUUACACAAACUGGAGCGUGGUUUAUACUGGAUUUGCUGUUGGGUUAGAAAGGGAGAGGACUUGACAGCGCCUCCUUGUGGUUGCUCUGUGUGUGUCUGUGGGGAUCAGCCCAGGACUGGUGUGUGUCCGACAGAGCCCAUAUUGCUUAUGCAGGACCAGUUCCGGGUUUAUUAAUACUUGGCUUUUGUGUUUUAAGGUUACGGGAAGUUUCAGAGAAGCUGAACAAGUACAAUCUGAACAGCCACCCGCCUUUGAAUGUCCUGGAGCAGGCUACU